AACCUCGGCAUCCCCAAGAUGGCCGCCACCUCCUCCUUCUCCUUCCUCCUCCUCCUCAUCAUGGCCGCCGUGCCAGGCAAGAUGGCGGCCGUGGAGCUGGCGGAGUCCGGCGGCGGCCUCAGCGCCCCCGGGGGGUCCUUGAGUCUCCUCUGCAAGGCCUCGGGCGAGGCCGCCGCCAUCUUGUGGGUGCGUCAACGCCCCGGCAAAGGCUUGGAGUGGGUGGGGGGCUUCGGCAAGAUGGCCGCCACCGCCCCGGCGCUGAGGCCCCGCGUCGCCAUUUUCAGAGAGGGGUCCCGGGGCGCCGCCAGGAUGCGAUUGGACGACCUGAGGGCUGAGGACACCGCCACCUACUACUGCGCCAAAGAUGGUGGACAUAGCAUCGACGCCUGGGGCCGCGGCGUCGAGGUCGUCGUCUCCUCCGAGUCCCAGCACCCCCCUCUCCUCCUCCCCCUCACUUCCUGCCCAAGCUCCACCCCCAACCUCUGCUCCAUUGGCUGCUUGGCCUUCAGCUUCCUCCCAGAUGGCCUCACCUUCUCCUGGCGGGACGGCCUCCAAGAUGGCCGCCAAGAUGGCGUCACCACCUUCCCCUCCGUUGCCGCCUUGGCCACCACCGGCGGCUUCGUGGCCACCACGCAAUUGGUCCUCAGGGAGACCGAGGGGCGGAGCCAAGGACCCUUCUACUGCCGGGCCCAACAUGGCGGCUCCACCCAGGAAGUCACCUUCAACCACCCCUGUAACAACACCCCCCCAGACCCCGUGCUCUCCCUCCACCCGCCCUCGGCCGAGGAGUUCCAGGGCCCCUACCUCAACUCCAGCAUCCUCUGCCGCAUCCGCCAUCCCGCCACCUCCCCCGUCAACCCCCUCUGGCUGAAGAACGGGGAGGUCCUCAGGGAAGGUUUCGUCACCCAAAAACUCCUCCUGGCCAACCAGGAGCCUUCUGGGAUCACUGAGAGCCAACUCGUGGUGACCAAAGCCGAGUGGGAAGCUGGGAACGUUUACACCUGCCAGGUGGAGGAGGAAGUGGGCAACACCAGCAAGGCCAUCGAGUGUGAUGUCGUUGCGGUCCCGGGUGAGAUCACGGUGAAGGUUUUGGCCCCGCCCUUCGCCGAGAUCUUCGAGAGCAAAGCGGCCAACCUGAGGUGCCAGGUCUCCAACCUCCCCGGCGUCGAGGGGUUGGGCAUCUCCUGGCGGGGGGAGGACGGGGAGGAGCUGCCCACCAAGACCACCCCUCAAGUCCUCCAAUCCAACGGGCUCUACACGGUGGAGGGCGUGGCCAGCGUCUGCGCCGACCAAUGGGAGAAGGGCGAGGCCUACACCUGCAAGGUCACCCACCCCGAGCUCCUCUUCCCCACCGAGGCCAAGCUGCAGAGGACGACGGGCCGCGACGCGAAGGCCCCGUCCGUCUUCCUCCUCCCCCCUUCCCCCGAGGAGCUGUCGGCGCAGGAAGUUGGGACCCUCCUCUGCCUCAUUUCCGGCUUCAACCCCCCCGACUUCUUCGUCCGUUGGCUGCGCAACGGUGACGUCAUCCCCGAGGGCUCUUACGUCACCACCCCCCCAUUGGCCGAGGGCGGCCGAGCCGCCUCCUUCAGCGCCUUCAGCGCCUUCAAGGUCCCCAAGGAAGAGUGGGAAGAGGGCAACGUCUUCACCUGCGUCGUCGGCCAUGAGGAAAUCCCGCUCCAGGUUACCCAGAAAUCCGUGGACAAAGCUUCCGGUAAAGCCACCGCCGUCAACGUCUCAUUGGUCCUCUCCGACUUGGCCGCUUCCUGUUAUUGAAAUUCAGAGUUUUUUCCCUCAAAACGGGGCCCGGAUUAGGCCCGCGGCGAAGAAACGGCGAAAUUGGGCGAUCGGAAGUCCAAAAACGAGGAAAAUGGGAAAAAAAGGGAAAAUGGUGGAAAAAUUGUCCCGU